AGAUGUAAGGGUGAUCUGGCUGUGACAUCUGUCACCCAGCUGAUUGCCAGGGAUGAUUUGGCUGAUCUGGCUGGCUAGACGGGUGUCCCCUUCUGCCUCCCACUCAGUGUGCAUCCCUCCUAAAGCUGCAUGUUGUCGAAGAGGAGGACCAUUCUCCUGCAGGGUAUGUGAGUAGCCAUGCUCCCCUGCUAGAACCUACAAACAAGCUCUCAAGGUCCAUUUUUGCUUGUUAUUAUAUCCCUUGCCCCUAAAAAAAGUGCCUGACAACAAGUAAAUACUUGUU
rnacentral:snRNA from 1 species